AAGACUAUACUUUCAGGGAUCAUUUCUAUAGUUCUUGACUUGAGAAAUGUUUUUCUAAAGUGUUUGGUCUCGCUGUCCACGAUGAAGAGGCGCUGAUACUCCUUCUUGAGCGCGAAGCGGGCUGAAAGACUUGAUUUACAUCUCACGCUUUCAGCUUUUGAUGACCGUUCACAGUUUCCCUGGAAACUAUGAGGGAAGGAGUAUGAUCAGAGUGGU